UACAGGGGGUGCAAACGUUGUUCGGAAUUACUGGGCGUAAAGCGCGCGCAGGCGGUCUUCCAAGUCAGUGGUGAAAGCCCGGAGCUCAACUCCGGAACUGCCAUUGAAACUGUUAGACUUGAGGACGAGAGAGGUGAGUGGAAUUCCCAGUGUAGAGGUGAAAUUCGUAGAUAUUGGGAAGAACACCGGUGGCGAAGGCGGCUCACUGGCUCGUAUCUGACGCUCAGGCGCGACAGCGUGGGGAUCAAACAGG
rnacentral:rRNA from 1 species